rnacentral:rRNA from 1 species
GACCCGUCUUGAAACACGGACCAAGGAGUCUAACAUAUGUGCAAGUUAUUGGGAUAUAAACCUAAUAGCGUAAUUAACUUGACUAAUAAUGGGAUUAGUUUUUUAACUAUUUUAUAGCUAAUUAACACAAUCCCGGGGCGUUCUAUAUAGUUAUGUAUAAUAAUAUUUAUAUUAUUUAUGCCUCUAACUGGAACGUACCUUGAGCAGAUAUGCUGUGACCCGAAAGAUGGUGAACUAUACUUGAUCAGGUUGAAGUCAGGGGAAACCCUGAUGGAAGACCGAAACAGUUCUGACGUGCAAAUCGAUUGUCAGAAUUGAGUAUAGGGGCGAAAGACCAAUCGAACCAUCUAGUAGCUGGUUCCUUCCGAAGUUUCCCUCAGGAUAGCUGGUGCAUUUUAAUGUUAUAUAAAAUAAUCUUAUCUGGUAAAGCGAAUGAUUAGAGGCCUUAGGGUCGAAACGAUCUUAACCUAUUCUCAAACUUUAAAUGGGUAAGAACCUUAACUUUCUUGAUAUGAAGUUUAAGGUUAUGAUAUAUUGUGCCCAGUGGGCCACUUUUGGUAAGCAGAACUGGCGCUGUGGGAUGAACCAAACGUAAUGUUACGGUGCCCAAAUUAACAACUCAUGCAGAAACCAUGAAAGGCGUUGGUUGCUUAAAACAGCAGGACGGUGAUCAUGGAAGUCGAAAUCCGCUAAGGAGUGUGUAACAACUCACCUGCCGAAGCAACUAGCCCUUAAAAUGGAUGGCGCUUAAGUUGUAUACCUAUACAUUACCGCUAAAGUAGAUGAUUUAUAUUACUUGUAAUAUAAAUUUUGAAACUUUAGUGAGUAGGAAGGUACAAUGGUAUGCGUAGAAGUGUUUGGCGUAAGCCUGCAUGGAGCUGCUAUUGGUACAGAUCUUGGUGGUAGUAGCAAAUAAUCGAAUGAGACCUUGGAGGACUGAAGUGGAGAAGGGUUUCGUGUGAACAGUGGUUGAUCACGAGUUAGUCGGUCCUAAGUUCAAGGCGAAAGCCGAAAAUUUUCAAGUAAAAAUAAAAUUUACUAUAUGUAAAAAUUAUAUACUUGAAUAAUUUUGAACGAAAGGGAAUACGGUUCCAAUUCCGUAACCUGUUGAGUAUCCGUUUGUUAUUAAAUAUGGGCCUCGUGCUCAUCCUGGCAACAGGAACGACCAUAAAGAAGCCGUCGAGAGAUAUCGGAAGAGUUUUCUUUUCUGUUUUAUAGUCGUACUACCAUGGAAGUCUUUCGCAGAGAGAUAUGGUAGAUGGGCUAGAAGAGCAUGACAUAUACUGUUGUGUCGAUAUUUUCUCCUCGGACCUUGAAAAUUUAUGGUGGGGAUACGCAAACUUCUCAACAGGCCGUACCAAUAUCCGCAGCUGGUCUCCAAGGUGAAGAGUCUCUAGUCGAUAGAAUAAUGUAGGUAAGGGAAGUCGGCAAAUUAGAUCCGUAACUUCGGGAUAAGGAUUGGCUCUGAAGAUUGAGAUAGUCGGGCUUGAUUGGGAAACAAUAAUAUGGUUUAUGUGCUCGUUCUGGGUAAAUAGAGUUUCGAUCAUUUAUGGUUGUAACUUGUUCCCCGGAUAGUUAGUUACGUAUCCAAUUGUGGAACUUUCUUGCUAAAAUUUUUAAGAAUACUAGUUGGGUCAAACCAAUUAGUUCUUAUUAAUUAUAACGAUUAUCAAUUAACAAUCAAUUCAGAACUGGCACGGACUUGGGGAAUCCGACUGUCUAAUUAAAACAAAGCAUUGUGAUGGCCCUAGCGGGUGUUGACACAAUGUGAUUUCUGCCCAGUGCUCUGAAUGUCAAAGUGAAGAAAUUCAAGUAAGCGCGGGUCAACGGCGGGAGUAACUAUGACUCUCUUAAGGUAGCCAAAUGCCUCGUCAUCUAAUUAGUGACGCGCAUGAAUGGAUUAACGAGAUUCCUACUGUCCCUAUCUACUAUCUAGCGAAACCACAGCCAAGGGAACGGGCUUGGAAUAAUUAGCGGGGAAAGAAGACCCUUUUGAGCUUGACUCUAAUCUGGCAGUGUAAGGAGACAUAAGAGGUGUAGAAUAAGUGGGAGAUAUUAGACUUCGGUUUGGUAUCGCCAAUGAAAUACCACUACUCUUAUUGUUUCCUUACUUACUUGAUUAAAUGGAACGUGUAUCAUUUCCUAGCCAUUAUACGGAUAUAUUUAUUAUAUCUUAUGGUAUUGGGUUUUGAUGCAAGCUUCUUGAUCAAAGUAUCACGAGUUUGUUAUAUAAUCGCAAACAAAUUCUUUAAUGAGAGAUGCAUUUACUGUAUUAUUGAUUUGAAAAUUUGGUAUAACUCCAAUUACUCAGGUAUGAUCCAAUUCAAGGACAUUGCCAGGUAGGGAGUUUGACUGGGGC